rfam:Danio rerio chromosome 15, GRCz11 reference primary assembly.
CUUGUCCUCAUUUGUCAGUCGCUUUGGAUAAAAGCGUCUGCUAAAUGACUAAAU